rnacentral:rRNA from 1 species
UACAGAGGUCUCAAGCGUUGUUCGGAUUCAUUGGGCGUAAAGGGUGCGUAGGUGGCGCCGUAAGUCAGGUGUGAAAUUUCGGAGCUUAACUCCGAAACUGCAUUUGAUACUGCGGUGCUUGAGGACUGGAGAGGAGACUGGAAUUCACGGUGUAGCAGUGAAAUGCGUAGAUAUCGUGAGGAAGACCAGUGGCGAAGGCGGGUCUCUGGACAAGUCCUGACGCUGAGGCACGAAAGCCAGGGGAGCAAACAGG